rnacentral:lncRNA from 1 species
GCAUUUUGGCUUCAACGACAAUCUAUGCUCCACAAUCUCAGAAUCAACCCAAGCAUGUCUUAAUAGGACCAAGCAAACACAUCAGAAUAAUCUCAAAGAAGAUCAAUCAACCCUUUCUUAGCUUCUGGACACAGCUGAGACCCAAUCUUGACUUCUUUCACAUCAUCCUCGGAACCUAAGUUGACUAGUUCAAUCUGCUAUUCAAACGGCUAAAUGGCUUUUUCCUCAGGCUCAAGUAAAC